rnacentral:rRNA from 1 species
GACGAACGCUGGCGGCGUGCUUAACACAUGCAAGUCGUGCGGUAAGGCCCUUUCGGGGGUACACGAGCGGCGAACGGGUGAGUAACACGUGAGCAACCUGCCCUUCACUUUGGGAUAACUGCCGGAAACGGUGGCUAAUACCGGAUAUGACUUCCUCACGCAUGUGGGGUGGUGGAAAGCCUUCGGGUGGUGGGGGAUGGGCUCGCGGUCUAUCAGCUUGUUGGUGGGGUGAUGGCCUACCAAGGCUUCGACGGGUAGCCGGCCUGAGAGGGUGACCGGCCACACUGGGACUGAGACACGGCCGAGACGGAUACGGGAGGCAAGAGUGGGGAAUAAUGGACAAUGGGCGAAAGGCUGAUCCAGAAACGCCGCGUGAGGGAUGACGGCCUUCGGGUUGUAAACGUCUUUCGCCUGCGACGAAGCGAGAGUGACGGUAGCAGGUAAAGGAGCACCGGCCAACUACGU